CAAGGGGGAGUAUUAGUGAUCACCGGGGUAGCCACUCUGUGGCCCCCAAACCUUCACUUUCCACACACACCUGUGCACCCGGUGGUGGGGGGUUCUUGUAAUAGAGCUCCCUCUGCUGCCUAUCUAUCACAUACCCUGAGUAUUAUGGAUGUCAGUGUAUACUUGCCUUUUUGGCAGAACUAAACACAACUUUCGACAACGGAUCUCUUGGUUCUCCCAUCGAUGAAGAACGCAGCGAAAUGCGAUAAGUAAUGUGAAUUGCAGAAUUCAGUGAAUCAUCGAAUCUUUGAACGCACCUUGCGCUCCUUGGUAUUCCGAGGAGCAUGCCUGUUUGAGUGUCAUGAAUCCCUCAAACCCCUCAGGUUUUGAAACAAAAGCCUGGGCUUGGGUUUGGAUGUGGGUGCCCUGCCAUCUUGUAUGGCUCACCCCAAAUGCAUUAGCUGGACCCUUCCUGUAACCGGUUCCACUCAGCGUGAUAAGUCAUUCGCUGAGGACAGCGAGGCAAGCCCACUUGUGGGUGCGCCCCUGCUGGCCGGACUCGGGUUGCUUGGUCUGCUUACAGCCCCGUCGCAUGACGGAAAACCAUAUUCAAUGCUCUGGCCUCAAAUCAGGUAGGAUUACCCGCUGAACUUAAGCAUAUCAAUAAGCGGAGGAAAAGAAACUAACAAGGAUUCCCCUAGUAACGGCGAGUGAAGCGGGAAGAGCUCAAAUUUGAAAGCUGGCGCCUUCGGUGUCCGCAUUGUAAUCUAGAGAGGUGUUUUCCGCGCCGGACCGCGUACAAGUUCCUUGGAACAGGACGUCAUAGAGGGUGAGAAUCCCGUACUUGACGCGGAUGCCCGGUGCUUUGUGAUACACCCUCCACGAGUCGAGUUGUUUGGGAAUGCAGCUCAAAAUGGGUGGUAAAUUCCAUCUAAAGCUAAAUAUUGGGGAGAGACCGAUAGCGAACAAGUACCGUGAGGGAAAGAUGAAAAGCACUUUGGAAAGAGAGUUAAACAGUACGUGAAAUUGUCGAUAGGGAAGCGCUUGAAGUCAGACAUGCUUGCUAGGACUCAGCCUUGCUU
rnacentral:rRNA from 1 species